CCGUGCAUAUGCCUUUAGGCGGGCAUUUCUAUGGCUGGCUUUCUGAAGCGAUGUUGAAGUUUGGGUCUUACGCAAUGGACAUCCACGAACCGUGUCAGGGUGGGAACACAGCAGCACUAAGAGGAACCGUUCAUGUGCCGUAAGGGUGCCUGGCGGAGUCGUUUUCAGGGGUACCGCAUAGAAGUGUCUACCCAAAUGUGUAUGCGCGG
rnacentral:SRP_RNA from 1 species